rnacentral:lncRNA from 1 species
GUGGGCUGCUGUGUCUGGGAGAACAUGUAGAAUGUGCUGUCUGCUGAGUGCUACUUGGUGGUGGCUUAUGAGUCUUGUUUAACAUUAUGGUGGCGAGAAUCCCUUCCCCCAGUACUACCUAAGUGAGAGGGAAUGGAGGAACUGUCCUGUUGUGUGAGGAGGAUGGGAGCUUGUAGGUCUGUGUUGGCCAUGCAGCAGUGUCUGCUCAGGCUUGGCCGCAGCUCCCGCUAGCUGCCAUCCUCAUGCACAUGGUCACACGCUUGCUCUUUUCUCUGCUCUAUUAGCCUGUUUUUGAAGUGGUUUAUUUCCCUUCAGAGUUCUGCUUGAGUAAUAGAUGCCGUGUUGUCUCCAGUAAGUGAGACUGUAUUUUUUCACUGCCCAAAGUGUACUGCCUCAGGGAAAC